rnacentral:lncRNA from 13 species
AUAGAGAAAAAAAUUGGUUCAAAACUUCCUGUAAGCCACUUGUCUGUGUGAGCACAAACAUUUUUCAUUAUCGCUAGUGUUUUUAUCUAUAAAACACAAAUCAUAUGAAGUCUCUUCAAUGAGAUGCUAAAAUGUGAUAAUGUGGGAACAACUGCAAGGCAAUAGUUAAUAGAAGUUUGGGGAUCAAACGACAUUGACAUGAAUUGUAACUCUAAUUUUCUUGCUGUGAAACCUAGGGCAAUUAGCUUAACUUGCUUGUAUCUUAGUUUCUUACCUGCAAAAUCACUAUGAAAACAGUAACUACCUCACAGGGCGUUUAUGCAUGGGACUUAGUGAUAUGGUCCAGCUUUGUGUCCCUACCCAAAUUUCAUCUUGAACUGUAAUCCCUAUAAUCCCCACAUGUCAAGAGAGAGACCAGGUGGAGGUAAUUUUUUCAUGGAGCACUUUCCCCCAUGCUCUUCUUAUAAUAGUGAGUGUGUUCUAGGAGUUCUGAUAGUUUUAUAAGGGGUGAUUUCUGCUUUACUCAACCCUUCUCCUUCUUGUCACCUUGGGAAGAAGUGCUUUGCUUCCCCUUCACCUCCUGCCAUGAUUGUAAGUUUCCUGAGGCCUCCCAGACCUGCUGAACUGAUCUACAUCAAUGACAAGCAAAAGAAGAAGGGGAAAGAGGAGAAGAAGGAAAAGGAGGAUGAGAAGAAGAGAAGGAGGAGUAACGGAAGGAGGAGAGAGAUGAGAAGGAAAAGGAAAAGACAACAGAAGAAAGGAAAAAGAAUAGCACAUGCAAAAUUAUUAAUUUGGGGAAGAAUUCAAAAAGAAAAGAAACAGCACUAUUUAUUUAAUUUGCCACAUAUGUGUGUUUUUCUCAGCAAGCAGCACAUAUGGAACAACUCUUUAUGGAAAAUAAGAGUGAUGUCAUCUGCCUAGCAAUACCAGGAUAUGAACUCAGACUCCCACAGUGCCGUUGGAUCCACACAGCUACCAGCGCGCUCUGAGGAAGGCAGACUAUUUUGAAUGUUUCCGGAGUUGUAUGCUUUGAUUUUCUUCUGAGAAAUCACUGGGAGGGUGUAAUCUGAUUUCCACAAAGAGAAAUGGGUGUGUGGGGA